rnacentral:misc_RNA from 1 species
AGAGUAUGCAGCAGCAACUUCAGCAGCACGACAAGCUUUAUGGCUCAGAAAACUUAUUGAAGAUUUCAGUCUUGAGCAAAAGAAAGCUACUUAAAUAUUCUGUGAUUAUCAAUCCACUAUUGCAAUGGCAAAGAAUCCUGCUUUUCAUAGCAGAACUAAGCAUAUUGAUGUACAUCAUCACUUCAUUCGAAAGCUGGUAACUGAUGGUAAAAUAGUGCUGAAAUUUCGUAGUACUAAUGAGUAAACAGCUGAUG